rnacentral:rRNA from 1 species
UACGAAGGGGGCUAGCGUUGCUCGGAAUGACUGGGAGUAAAGGGCGCGUAGGCGGCUUACAUAGUUAGGCGUGAAAUUCCUGGGCUCAACCUGGGGACUGCGUCUAAUACAUGUAGGCUUGAGUGUGAAAGAGGGUUGUGGAAUUUCCAGUGUAGAGGUGAAAUUCGUAGAUAUUGGAAAGAACACCGGUGGCGAAGGCGGCGACCUGGUUCAUUACUGACGGUGAGGCGCGAAAGCGUGGGGAGCAAACAGG